rnacentral:misc_RNA from 1 species
UCCGGCUUACACCGGCGGUCUCCUGUGAGUGCCCGACUUUACUCGCUGGUAACACAGAACGUGGGUUGCGCUCGUUGGCGGACUUAACCGUACACCUCACGGCACGAGCUGACGACAGCCAUGCAACAUCUGUCUUCACGUCCCCUUGUGGGGGAGGAGCGCCUUUCAACGCUUUGCGAUCGAUGUCAAACCUGGGUAAGGUUCUUCGGUUAGUAUCGAAUUAAACCACAUGCUCCACCGCUUGUGCGGGUCCCCGUCAAUUCAUUUGAGUUUCAACCUUGCGGCCGUAGUCCCCAGGCGGGAUACUUAACGCGUUAGCUACGGUCACGAGAGGGGUCGAUACCUCUCACGACUAGUAUCCAUCGUUUAGGGCGUGGACUAC